rnacentral:rRNA from 1 species
AUAUCAAUAAGCGGAGGAAAAGAAACCAACUGGGAUUGCCCUAGUAGCGGCGAGCGAAGCGGCAACAGCUCAAAUUUGAAAUCUGGCCUCGGCCCGAGUUGUAAUUUGUAGAGGAUGCUUUUGGCGCGGCUCCUUCUGAGUCCACUGGAACGUGGCGCCACAGAGGGUGAGAGCCCCGUAUAGAUGGAAGCCAAGCCUGUGUAAAGCUCCUUCGACGAGUCGAGUAGUUUGGGAAUGCUGCUCUAAAUGGGAGGUAAAUGUCUUCUAAAGCUAAAUACCGGCCAGAGACCGAUAGCGCACAAGUAGAGUGAUCGAAAGAUGAAAAGCACUUUGAAAAGAGGGUUAAACAGCACGUGAAAUUGUUGAAAGGGAAGCGCUUGCGACCAGACGUGCGCCGGGGUGCUCAGCGGGCGUUCUCGCCCGUGCACUCGCCCCGGCGCAGGCCAGCGUCGGUUUGGGUGGGGGGAUAAAGGCGUCUGGAAUGUGGCUCCUCCGGGAGUGUUAUAGCCAGGCGUGCCAUGCCUCCGCCUAGACCGAGGUACGCGUUCUGCAAGGACGCUGGCGUAAUGGUCUCCAGCGA